CCCGCCAUGUUUUAAAUAUCAAAUACUUCGAAAAGGAGCUCCAUGACCUUUCAAAUAUUUCUUUUUUAGCUUACUUUGAUUCUUAACCAAUGAAUCCAGCUAAUAUUGUUUCUUUUUUUUUUUUUAUUUCACCUUAGUACAUCAUUAAUUUAUAUUCGUGUUGCUUUAUUAUUUUUUUGUCACUUAUCGACGCUUUUUGUCGCUGCUUGUCCUUAAUUUGUGAGACUUGUGUUUAGCGGUCUCACUAAUUAGCGACAAGAAAAAUUUUAGCGACAAAAAGCGUCAAGAAGAGACAAGAAGAAUAAUUUUAGCGACAAGAAGCGACAAGAAACUAUUUAGCGACAAGAAAACAUUUUUUUUUAAUUAGAAUUACUUAAACCAAAUAAAUAUUAAAAG
rnacentral:lncRNA from 1 species